rnacentral:rRNA from 1 species
AAGCUCGUAGUUGAAUUUCGGGAUUGACGUAAUGGUCAUGCCUUAAGGGGUAUGAACUGUUACUGUUGAUUUCUCACCUUCUGGAGAAACUUGAUGUCCUUUAUUGGGUGUCUUGCGGAUCCAGGACCUUUACCUUGAAAAAAUUAGAGUGUUUAAAGCAGGCAUUUUUGCUCGAAUACAUUAGCAUGGAAUAAUAGAAUAGGACGGCAUGGUUCUAUUUUGUUGGUUUCUGAAUCACCGUAAUGAUUAAUAGGGAUAGUUGGG